rnacentral:misc_RNA from 1 species
GAUGAAGAACGCAGCGAAAUGCGAUAAGUAAUGCGAAUUGCAGAAUUCAGUGAGUCAUCGAAUCUUUGAACGCUCAUUGCGCCCUGUGGUAUUCCGCAGGGCAUGCCUGUUCGAGCGUCAUUUCAACCCUCAAGCCCCGCUUGGUGUUGGGCCCCGCCCGCUGUGGCCGGCCCUAAAGACAGUGGCGGCGCCGCCUGGCCCUCAGCGUAGUACAUCUCUCGCUCCAGGGUCCGGUGGCCGCCUGCCAGAACCCCCCAACUCUGUGGUUGACCUCGGAUCAGGUAGGGAUACCCGCUGAACUUAAGCAUAUCAAUAAGCGGAGGA